GAAUAUGCACAAUGGGCGAAAGCCUGAUGCAGCGACGCCGCGUGAGGGAUGACGGCCUUCGGGUUGUAAACCUCUUUCAGUAGGGAAGAAGCGAAAGUGACGGUACCUGCAGAAGAAGCGCCGGCUAACUACGUGCCAGCAGCCGCGGUAAUACGUAUGGCGCAAGCGUUAUCCGGAAUUAUUGGGCGUAAAGAGCUCGUAUGCGGUUUGUCGCGUCUGCCGUGAAAGUCCGGGGCUCAACUCCGGAUCUGCGGUGGGUACGGGCAGACUAGAGUGAUGUAUGGGAGACUGGAAUUCCUGGUGUAGCGGUGAAAUGCGCAGAUAUCAGGAGGAACACCGAUGGCGAAGGCAGGUCUCUGGGCAUUAACUGACGCUGAGGAGCGAAAGCAUGG
rnacentral:rRNA from 1 species